rnacentral:rRNA from 1 species
GACAUGUCAGGAACUUUGCAGAGAUGCGAAGGUGCUCGAAAGAGAGCCUGAACACAGGUGCUGCAUGGCCGUCGUCAGCUCGUGUCGUGAGAUGUUGGGUUAAGUCCCGCAACGAGCGCAACCCUUGUCAUUAGUUGCCACGAAAAGGGGCACUCUAGUGAGACUGCCGGUGACAAACCGGAGGAAGGUGGGGAUGACGUCAGGUCCUCAUGGCCCUUAUGGGUAGGGCUACACACGUCAUACAAUGGCCGGUACAGAGGGUUGCCAACCCGCGAGGGGGAGCCAAUCCCACAAAGCCGGUCGUAGUCCGGAUCGUAGUCUGCAACUCGACUACGUGAAGUCGGAAUCGCUAGUAAUCGCGGAUCAGCUUGCCGCGGUGAAUACGUUCCCGGGUCUUGUACACACC